UCGCAAGUGCGCCACCCGGUAGGCGGACUCGCUGUUAACGAGUUGCAUGUUGGUUCGAGCCCAGCCUUGCGAGCCA
rnacentral:tRNA from 2 species